rnacentral:snRNA from 1 species
AUCACUUCUUGGCUUUUGGCUAAGAUCAAGUGUAGUAUCUGUUCAUAUGCGUACAAUUAUUGGAGCACUUGUGAGAAGAGGUAGUGUGUGCACCGUGGGCACACUCACUGCACAGAGGUAACUUUUUAUACCUAUCACUCUGGGCAACAGUAA